rnacentral:lncRNA from 1 species
CUUAUAUGGUCUUCUGCCUUCUUGCAGUUGCAGAUGGGAAUUCAGAACUUCAUCUGUACUUUCCAGAAGGUCUCAAUCAGAUGGGUUGUACUGAGGAGUGUUCUCAGGAACUAUCCGGGGCUUUGUCAUAGGUAUUUAUGAGAGUAGAGAUUUAAAGGACCUCAAAAAUUUUCAAUUACAUUGUUGUCUAAAUUUUCUCUUAUCCAGGUGUGCACCAAAUACAUUCGCAGAUUUCUAAGGGGUGCAAGUGAAAGGCUUUCAGGGUUCACGUUUGUUGCUGUUCAGCCCGGUGGUGAGUGGAGGCUGUGGAGCCAUGCAGUACAAGAGUGUGGGAUGAGGCCCUCUGGGCAAGUACUGGCAGAUGGACGUUGCCUUCAGGUGGCAUCGUGCACCCAUGUAACCAAAUGUCUGCUGUCUAUUGUCUGAAUUGGUCGCACUGGUAAGGAAAAGCUGGGAAGACGAAAAGUGAGAUUGCUUUGGCACAUACAAGAUGACCCUGGGAGUCAAAGCUUUGGAGACAUCAUGGGAUCCAUGCGCUGCUGCCACUGAAGUGUAACUGUGGGUCAGGAGAGGUGAUUUCACUUGUUGUAGAAAUAAAUAACUGGUGAAUUUAUUUGAAUUUUUUGAA